rnacentral:rRNA from 1 species
UACGUAGGUGGCGAGCGUUGUCCGGAAUUACUGGGCGUAAAGGGCGCGUAGGCGGUUAAUUAAGUCAGAUGUGAAACCCCGGGGCUUAACUCCGGGCUUGCAUUUGAAACUGAAUAGCUUGAGUGCAGGAGAGGUAAGUGGAAUUCCUAGUGUAGCGGUGAAAUGCGUAGAUAUUAGGAGGAACACCAGUGGCGAAGGCGACUUACUGGACUGUAACUGACGCUGAGGCGCGAAAGCGUGGGGAGCAAAC